UGGCAACAUCAUGCUGGAACACCAAUUCUCAUACGAUCACCAAUGUUAAGCAACACUGAGCUUGGUCAGUACCUAGAUGGGUGACCACUUAAGCAUACCAGUUGCUGCAAG